rnacentral:rRNA from 1 species
CCUACGGGUGGCUGCAGUGAGGAAUAUUGGUCAAUGGACGAAAGUCUGAACCAGCCAUGCAGCGUGAAGGAAGACGGCUCUAUGAGUUGUAAACUGCUUUUGUACGGGGGUAAACGCAGGUACGCAUACCUGUCUGAAUGUAUCGUACGAAUAAGGAUCGGCUAACUCCGUGCCAGCAGCCGCGGUAAUACGGAGGAUUCAAGCGUUAUCCGGAUUUAUUGGGUUUAAAGGGUGCGUAGGUGGUCGGUUAAGUUAGUGGUGAAAUCCCGAGGCUCAACUGUGGAAUUGCAGUUGAUACUGGCAGUCUAGAGAGGAGUAGCGGUAGGCGGAAUGCGUGGUGUAGCGGUGAAAUGCUUAGAGAUCACACAGAACACCGAUUGCGAAGGCAGCUUACUGAGCUACUACUGACGUUGAUGCACGAAAGUGUGGGGAGCAAACAGGAUUAGAUACCCCAGUAGUC